UACGGGAGGCAGCAGUGGGGAAUAUUGGACAAUGGGCGAAAGCCUGAUCCAGCAAUGCCGCGUGAGUGAUGAAGGCCUUAGGGUUGUAAAGCUCUUUUACCCGGGAUGAUAAUGACAGUACCGGGAGAAUAAGCUCCGGCUAACUCCGUGCCAGCAGCCGCGGUAAUACGGAGGGAGCUAGCGUUGUUCGGAAUUACUGGGCGUAAAGCGCACGUAGGCGGCUUUGUAAGUUAGAGGUGAAAAGCCCGGGGCUCAACCCCGGGAACUGCCUUUUGAUACUGCAUGGCUUGAAUCCAGGAGAGGUGAGUGGAAUUCCGAGUGUAGAGGUGAAAUUCGUAGAUAUUCGGAAGAACACCAGUGGCGAAGGCGGCUCACUGGACUGGUAUUGACGCUGAGGUGCGAAAGCGUGGGGAGCAAACAGGGAUUAGAUACC
rnacentral:rRNA from 1 species